rfam:Orchesella cincta Ocin01_Sc4810, whole genome shotgun sequence.
CCAACGGCUCUUUUAAGAGCCACCACUUUUUACGAAGAGCAACUG